rnacentral:rRNA from 1 species
GGCCGCGAAUUCGCCCUUAGGGUUUGAUCAUGGCUCAGAUUGAACGCUGGCGGCAGGCCUAACACAUGCAAGUCGAGCGGUAGCACAGGAGAGCUUGCUCUCUGGGUGACGAGCGGCGGACGGGUGAGUAAUGUCUGGGAAACUGCCCGAUGGAGGGGGAUAACCACUGGAAACGGUGGCUAAUACCGCAUAACGUCUACGGACCAAAGAGGGGGACCUUCGGGCCUCUUGCCAUCGGAUGUGCCCAGAUGGGAUUAGCUAGUAGGUGGGGUAACGGCUCACCUAGGCGACGAUCCCUAGCUGGUCUGAGAGGAUGACCAGCCACACUGGAACUGAGACACGGUCCAGACUCCUACGGGAGGCAGCAGUGGGGAAUACUGCACAAUGGGCGCAAGCCUGAUGCAGCCAUGCCGCGUGUGUGAAGAAGGCCUUCGGGUUGUAAAGCACUUUCAGCGAGGAGGAAGGCCAAUAACUUAAUACGUUGUUGGAUUGACGUUACUCGCAGAAGAAGCACCGGCUAACUCCGUGCCAGCAGCCGCGGUAAUACGGAGGGUGCAAGCGUUAAUCGGAAUUACUGGGCGUAAAGCGCACGCAGGCGGUUUGUUAAGUCAGAUGUGAAAUCCCCGCGCUUAACGUGGGAACUGCAUUUGAAACUGGCAAGCUA